AAGACAACUCUCAACAACGGAUAUCUUGGCUCUCGCAACGAUGAAGAACGCAGCGAAAUGCGAUACGUAGUGUGAAUUGCAGAAUUCCGUGAACCAUCGAAUCUUUGAACGCAUAUUGCGCCCAAGACUUCGGUCAAGGGCAUGUCUGCCUCAGCGUC
rnacentral:rRNA from 1 species